rnacentral:lncRNA from 1 species
AUUAAGCUGCAAGAGGUGAGUUAAGAAACUUUAUUAUUAUUAUUGGUUAGGGUAGGCAUUUUUAUUCUCAUGCUGAGAAUCCAUCGGGCAAUACCACACAGCAGCAGCUUGCAGCAGUCCUUCCUUUGGGUAGGAUUCAUCUCACCUCACUUCAACCAUCAUUGCUAUUCAGUCAGAGCUGCCUGACCCCUUGCCACCUAUGGAUGGCACAGAGAAAGCCAACUUACCUGCUCCUGGAGAUGCCUCUAACUGUAGAUAGAAGUUAGGUUGGUUUGCCUAGCCUAGAUUGCCACCUUCUAGAUAAAACCUAAUUUUCAUGUCUCUGAUACCUUCUGCAAAGCAGAUGUCUUCCAGUUUGGCUACGUUGUUCUACUUUGCCAAAUGCUACCUGCAGCAUUGAGUGGAAAUGGAGAAUACAAAUUUAGAAAAUCACUGUCCACACAGGAGGCUCUAAUUUGUCCAGCCCAUGUCAGCGUUUGGUACCAGAUGGCUCCCUCAAAUACAAAGAACAGUAGCAGGCAGUUGCAGAGCAAUCUCUCUUCCACGACAGCCCUUUUCCUAACCUCUAGCAGCUGGCUUCACCCUGCUGCAUGACAUUGUAUACGCCUUCCAAAUGCUUCUUACUACUGGCUAUAAUGACCCUAGGUAUUAUUAUCGGCAUAAAUUACACUUUGGCUCUUGGGUUUCAGGAGCCCCGGGUGGCAGUGGGUCUUGCAGCCUCAUUAAGCUCUCAAAUACACCCUUCCUUCUUGCUCCUGUGCCAGUCCCUUCUUGCCCGUCCUGAAUGGGUGCACGGACCUGCCCUGGACAUCGGUGGUGCAUGGACCUGCCUCCCCUCCCUCAGCCCACUGGCUCCUGUGGUGUCUGUAGCUUUUUUUCAGGAGAUAUGGGUACUUUGGCAUAAUAGCAGCUAG